CUUACUCUUGGACAUUUGUGUUUUGUGGAAUGAAGCUCACAAGAUUUCUUUUUUUGCUAAAUAGUUGGUUUCAAGCUAUUUGGGAGUGUGUCAGCUUUAAAAUUUUCCACUCUAAAAUCCUCAUUUUACCUCAGUUGAAACCAAGCUCCAUCCAGAACAUUCUGUUUUAGUAGUUCAUAUACCAGUGUAAAAUUUGAAUAAAAAGCCUGCGUAUUUUCCCAUAAGAAAAAUAAUAGCUUUUUAAGAUUCUUUUCUUUCACAGGGACAGAACAAUGGAAAUUAAAAGAAUGAAGAUUAUUCUGAUGUUUUUCAUGAAUUAUCAGCCAUUUAUUGUAUUUUCAGUGUAUUUACUUCAACAAAUUAGUUAAGAUAUUUAACAAAUCACUUAAAAUUAUGUAUGAAACUUUUCUUUUUCCUUUGUAGUGGUAAUGUUCUGAGAAGACCAUAUAUAGAAGGAAAAUCAUGCAGUAAUUGUGCAAAAGGGGACAUCUGUGAAAAUAAACUGUGUAGAAAUCCAGAACGUGAUAAAAUUAUCUGUAUGUAUUACAAUUUUACACUUCUACUUAUAUUUCUUAGUUACUUUAAAUGUAUGUACUCCCCAUAAAUCUUAUAUUUAUAUGCUUAUUUAUAGAUUAUUCAAGAUGGCACCCCCCUUGGGAGUUCAGAAUUGUAUGCGAUGAGGCUUGUAUCAGUCUUGUAGUUUUGAGAGCAUCACUGAUGUUUCUUGCUUUUGUAGCUGUUUAUUUUAUCAAAAAACACUUUACAAACAUGCAUAUGUCCACCUAACUGGAUUUGAAAUACAUAUUGUCUUCUGAAGAUACUUGCUAAUGAAUUAAGCAAAAAAGUCAUAUUUACAUAACUUUAAAGACAACUUUCUUUGACAAUAAUUUUGUUGCCAUUAUUUUAUUCUCCUUAGAGAAAGCUAACAUGCCAAAAAAAGUGAAAUUCUAGGUGGUUAAAACCCAUAUUGGGAAAAUAUUAAGCUAAAGAUGGUAUCUGGUAAGGUUUGGAGCCUUAUUUUUAAAUACUGAAUUUCCCAAAACUGUGAUGUACUCUGUUCCUGGAAUUCAAGGAGAAUAGUAUGUGUCAGUUAAACAACUGUUAAAAUUCAUACUAAGCCAAUAUUUGAAAUCACAAUUGCUUAAUUUAGAUGCUGAGAGAAACCUAGCAUCAUAUCAUGUACUGAGUCCUGUUUCCUAGAGUGACAGAAUGUUCUGAAUAAAAUGUAUAAAGUCAGAAGAUGUUAUACAAAGAUGGUUCUUUAGAAGUCUUGAUGUUUGUGAAGUUAGUACAACUUGGUAUUUAUAAGUUAAUGCAUUUACUUUUGCUCAUUCAAAAUGUGAAGCUUUAGAUUUAUUAUUAUUUUGUUCCUAACUCCCUCUAAACCUUGUGCUUAAUUUUCAUUUUUUUUAUUCCUUGUUUUAACGUGUACCGUUACUUACGUAUAGCUUAUUUCCUGU
rnacentral:lncRNA from 1 species